ACCUGCCCAUUGAGAUUUAAAAGGCCGCGGUAUUAUGACCGUGCUAAGGUAGCAUAAUCAUUAGUCUUUUAAUUGGAGGCUGGAAUGAAUGGUCGGACAAGAGAUAAGCUGUCUUAAGUAAAAAUAUUGAAUUUAACUUUUAAGUGAAAAGGCUUAAAUUUUCUAGGGGGACGAUAAGACCCUAUAAAACUUUAUAUUUUGAAAUAAUAAUUAAUUUUAUAUGGGAGUUUUAUUUUUAAAUAUUUUAUUGGGGUGAUAAGGAUAAAAUAACAAAUAACUGUCUUUUUUUUAUUACAAUAAUAUUUGAGCAAAUGAACCUAGUAAGGGAAAGAAGAUUAAGUUACUUUAGGGAUAACAGCGUAAUUUUUUUUAAGAGUUCUUAUCGACAAGAAAGUUUGCGACCUCGAUGUUGAAUUAAAAGUUCUUUAUAGAGCAGAAACUAUAAAAGAAGGUCUGUUCGACCUUUAAAAUUUUAC
rnacentral:rRNA from 1 species